rnacentral:rRNA from 1 species
AGGAGGCAAGCGUUAUCCGGAAUGACUGGGCGAAAAGGGAGCGUAGGUGGUUUGGCAAGUUAGUAGCGAAACUCCGGGGCUCAACUCCGGAACUACUACUAAAACUGUCGGACUUGAGUGCAGGAGGGGCAAUUGGAAUUCCUAGUGUAGCGGUGGAAUGCGUAGAUAUUAGGAAGAACACCAGUGGCGAAGGCGAAUUACUGGACUGUAACUGACACUGAGGCACGAAAGCGUGGGGAGCAAA